AAACUAGGAUUAGAUACCCUAUUAUUUAAGAGCUUUACAUUGUAAGUAAAUAUUAAUUACGAAAGCAAAAAAUUAUGGCGUAUUUUAAGCUUUUCAGAGGAAUUUGCUCUUUAAUGGAUAAAACACCUAAAUCUUACUUAAAUUUGUUAAGUCAAUUUGUAUACCACUAUUAAAUUAAUUAUUAAUUUUAAUUUAUAAAAUUUAUGCAAAUUUAAAAAAAAUUAAGUCAAGGUGCGAGUAAAAAUUUAAGAAUGAAGUGAAUUACAUUUCUUUUAAGAGAUUAUUAAAAUUAAAAUUUUAAUUUAGGUUUGAAAGUAAAAUUAAAAUAGAAUGUUAAUUUGAAUUAAGCUCUAAAAUAUGUACACAUCGCCCGUCGCUCUCAUU
rnacentral:rRNA from 1 species